rnacentral:rRNA from 1 species
UACGUAGGGUGCGAGCGUUAAUCGGAAUUACUGGGCGUAAAGCGUGCGCAGGCGGUGCUGUAAGACCGAUGUGAAAUCCCCGGGCUUAACCUGGGAACUGCAUUGGUGACUGCAGCGCUGGAGUAUGGCAGAGGGGGGUGGAAUUCCACGUGUAGCAGUGAAAUGCGUAGAGAUGUGGAGGAACACCGAUGGCGAAGGCAGCCCCCUGGGCCAAUACUGACGCUCAUGCACGAAAGCGUGGGGAGCAAAC